GGAGAGAGGAGAACUGUUUUGUGGCAAGUUUUGUAUUUUAAAACUGGGCAGAGAAUGGUAUUUGGACAAGGCCGUUGAAUAGUUUUAGACUGUAUUGAAAGUUUGUACCUAAAAGUGAGUUGAAUGGCAUGAAAGAAACUCCUUUAUAUUCUAUUGAGCUGUGAUGUGCUUUGGUGGAACACAAAAAGAAAAACAGUGAACAGAAUAUUAAAAAGCAUUCAACAAAACCCUUCAAACAGCAUAAAAACUAAACACCAUAGACCAUAGGACCUGCUGGUUAAAUGUAAUUGCAAAAAAAGUCUCUUCUUUUUUCUCUCCUUUUUGCAAAUGACACUGUUUUAUAUAUAAUGGAGGGAUUUUCACUAGGGUCUGGAGUUCCGAAAUGUUUGUGAAAUACAUUUUACAAAUUUAUUUAUUUUUACAUUUUACAGGCCUGCUUUUCCAAUGGUCACUUGGACUGUGUAUCCUGUGCACCUGUUGUUUCUGCAAUGUUCCCGAGUCAUGGUAAUAGUAUGCGUGUUGAUUACAGCUGUUGAAGUGCAGCUGUGUUCAGUUCUGAUCCCCUUCUUUCUCUCCUUGUGUCUUACAUGAAGACAUGAUGCUUCUUAAACACAUAUAUUACUGUUCAAAAGUGUGGUGUCAGUAAGGUUUUUUAAAUGGUUUAAGAAAAAAAAAAAUUGUGCUCACCAAGACUACAUUUAUUUGAUUAAAAAAACAGUAAUGCUGUGAAAUAUUAUUACAAUUUAAAAUAACUGUUUUCUGCUAUAUUUUAAAAUGUAAUUAAUUCCUGUGAUGGCAAAGCUGAAUUUUCACCAUCAUUACUCUAGUUUUCAGUGUCACAUGAUCCUUCAGCAAAUGCUGAUUUGCUGUUCAUGAAACAUUUCUUAUAAUCAUAAAUGUUGAAAAGAGUUGUCUUUUUUUUAGGAUUCUUUGAUGAAUAGAAAGUUCAAAAGAACAGCAUUUAUUUGAAAUAAAAAAAUUGUAACAUUUAUAAAUAUCUUUGGU
ensembl:lncRNA